CACGUAGGGCGCAAGCGUUGUCCGGAAUUAUUGGGCGUAAAGAGCUCGUAGGCGGUCUGUUGCGUCCGCUGUGAAAACCCGGGGCUUAACCCUGGGCUGGCAGUGGAUACGGACAGACUAGAGGUAGGUAGGGGAGAAUGGAAUUCCCGGUGUAGCGGUGAAAUGCGUAGAGAUCGGGAGGAACACCAGUGGCGAAGGCGGCUACCUGGACCAGCACUGACACUGAGGCACGAAAGCGUGGGGAGCAAACGGG
rnacentral:rRNA from 1 species